GCCAUAAUAAAGGGCUCUGGCUAUAAGGCAGAACUCUUUACUUUAUUUAGUGGACACUUCCUAUUAAGAUAAGGUUUCCCAUCCGAAGUCUUUGCUGCUGUUAAAGGAUUUGUUGCUUUCGCUACGCCCCUUUUUCAACAAGUUCAAAUAGGGUGCCAUGGAUACCCAAGCCCGAAAUCUAUUUCUCUGAUGAAUUGGUACACGCGCCCUUUCUGAUGAUAAAAGUGAUAGAAGGAUUGGGAUAUGAUUAACGAAUGAACCACACUGACACAGAAGAAAAAG
rnacentral:lncRNA from 1 species